CUUACACAUGGCUUAUUAUAAUUCUUUGCAUGUCUCAUGUGGACCCUCCUAUAAUUGCUGGUUUUGUGAUUGCUGGUUUAUGCAAACCAUUGACACAAGUGGUUUAUGGAAACAAUUGUGGUUUUAUGAUUACUUUCCCAAUUUUUUUUCAUUUGUGAAAUUGUUUUCUCUCUCUUCCCCCCCUCUCUCUCUCUCUCGUACGCUCUCCCUCUUUCUCAUCAUCCCACAGUUUCAUCUCUCUCACUCCCCAUCUCAUCCUUCACCAUAACAUCCACCUCACAACCUUCACCACCAUCUACGAAUCAAUCGCUCGUCAUGAGAGUGAGGGAGUGGCCGAGUGAGAGAAGAUUUACCGGCGGGAGAGAAGUUCUGGCGAGGAGGAGUUCCGGCCGAGAGAGUUCUUGUGGCCGUUUGUGGUGACACGGCGGUGCUUGGCAACGGCGGCGACAAAGCUUCUUGCUCCUUCUUUCCUCUGGCUCCAUGGAAGGAUAAAGCUCCUCCAUGAAAUUUGAUCUUUGGAUGUCAAUAAACUCAGGUGACUAGAAAAAUCUCAUCUCUCUUUCAAACUUUUUCGUUUUUAUUUUUAUUUUAUUUUUGCAGGAAGCAUUCCAAUGAUAAAAUUGAAUUUUUAUCAAUUGGUUUAUGCUUAAUCAAACCCCAGAUGAAUUUUGUGUUAUUUUGUGCAAAACAAAGACUUGCUUAAUCUUUCGUUUUUUUAGUUUUCUUUCAUAUACAGAUUUGUCUCUGUUUUGCAGCUAGGAAAAUGGUGAAAACUGGCGACCACAACCUUUUUAAUGGGAAGAGGUGAAUGUUUUGCUAUUCUAUUUCUGUUGAUUUAGAUUAGAUUUAACAAGAAAGUAGGUUAUGUUGGACCUAAUUAUUUAUUUUUGAUGAUUCAAGGUUAUUAUGUUUUUGAGUUUGAUAAAAUAGUUUCUCCUGCAAAAUUGCACCAAAUCCAUUAUCCAAGGUAGAUUUUGGUGGUUUUGAUUUUUGAUUUUUAUUUAGAUUUUCAAUUUCUGUUUUGAAUUUCUUUGUAAGAUUUGGUGAAUCUCACCGCAGCACGUGACGUCACUCCUCUCUCCAUUAACCAACGUAGGAGAAGGAAGAAGAAAUUCUAGGGUUUCUGUGACUGACUCACUUGGCUGCUAUUGCGUUUGUGUUUUUUUUUUUAAUUUGGCUCAGAACAAAUUAAAGUUGAAGUAAGUAUAAGCUGGAAUUGUUGGUGAAAAAUGUCUCAGCCUAGAUACUAGAUGAGCAUGUAUUUUAUAUUUUGACUAAUGUUGAAUGGGUAGAGUAGACCCGUUCUUUUCAAAAACCUUAAUUUUGAAUGAAUCCCGAUUAAUUAUUAUUGUUGUUUUGAAUGAUUUUGAUAUUAAUUUUGAUUUAUGUGAUUACAGCUGUCACCAAUGUCUUUCGAGGAGGUGUUUGAGUGUAUGUUUGAUUACAUUGAUAGGUUGUUUAACAUGGUGCGACCUAGGAAGCUGCUGUUUAUGGCUAUUGAUGGUGUUGCACUUAGGGCUAAAAGGAACCAGCAAUGGUCUACGCGGUUUAGGGCAGCUAAAGAUAUGCAUCUGAUGCGGCAAUACUAAGGCUGGAUUGGUGGGAAAAACAAGUCUGUUACUGAGUGAAAAGGAGGGUUUAGAGCAAAAAGUAAAGAUUCUGGAAAGCAAUUUGAGUUCUUUUAGUGAGAAAGAGGUAAUAACUUCUCAAAUUUGCUACCUUAACCUUUUCUAUUAAGUAUACUCAUCACCUAAUUUGCCCGGGUACUUUUUUUUAAGAAAAAGGAAGUAUCUGGAUUUGAAUAGAACAGUUUUUGGUGAAUGUGAAGAUGGCUAUUGUGCACUAUCAAAAUUUGUUAUCUUUCUCGCUUUCUUUUGGCAUACCUGGCAACGGGAAUGAAUGACAUGGAGCACACACAACAACGGUAGCAGCCUCCGAUGUAGAGGUAAGGAUUUCAGAUCCAUUCUAUUUUGGUCCUCAAUUUGUUUGUGAUUAUUCUUCUUGCUUCUACUCAGAUGAAGUGUGACAUAAAAACUUCAAUCUCUGCAAAACUAAUAUUUUUAUAUUCUACAGAUUUAGAAUGAGUUCAUAAAUCGGUUACCAUGCCGCAUCAAUUUCAUUUAUCAUUAAUUAGUUUCAUUUGCGCUUCAUCAUUUAUCAACUAUCGGUUAGAAAGAUCUGAUCUACAGGUUGUUACUGUUGUUAUUGGAGUUUUCUAUGAAUUUAGUUCCAAGGAACCGAGGCCGUAUCUUCAGUUGGCGCCAAAAUUUCAUAGGGUUUUGGUUAAUUCUAAGAAUAAUUGGGUUCUGAUUUUAAUUUUAAUUUUCAUUAUGAUUCAUGAAAUUCUAAUUUUUAUCAAUAAGAAACUGAGGAUGUUAGCAUUGUCUGACCUAAAGCUUCAAUCUUUCUUCUUUGUUGCAGGUUUGUGUAUCUCAUCUCAGCUCCAUAGAAUAUUUCUGGUUCUACUUUAGCUAGAUCUAUCCAUUUUGCUUAGAUUGUGCAUUUUGCAGAUAAAGGUGGAUUUUGAUCUAGCUUGAAGGUUUUGAUCAUCUGUUAUAAGAGAGAGUUCCGACCGAGAGAGUUGCGGUGCUUGGCGAUGGAGGUGAUGAAGCCUUUUUCUCCUUCUUUCCUCCGGUUCGAUCCUUCAUUCGGAUGAUCAUCAACAAUCUAUUGAAGAAGAGAAGGCUUGAUUUGUGGUAUUUCUUUGAUGUUAAUACUCCCAAGAUGAAAAGAGAUCUCAUGAAGCAGCUUUGGCGAAGUGCAAGGAGUUAGAAGAACAAUUGCAAAGAUAUGAACCAUCGUUACAAAUUGCAUCCUGAUGUUCGUCCUUACGCAAUGAUGACCAGGACAGGAUAUAUGGAGUAUGAUCCCAUGAAGCCCCGAGGAAAGCUUCCAGAAAUCUAUGCACGUUCCAUUGGUCAAUACAUGUGAUACGGUUUUUUUGGAGGAUGUUAACAAGAAUCAGAUUCAAGUUGGUGUGCACAAAAAGAGUUCUUCAAAAAUUUAUUUUACUGAUGGCUGGUCAAUACAUAGGUGAUACGGUUUUUCUGGCCAGUGGCGUGAUAUUUGCAAAGUCCACCAUUUGGCUGAGGGUGUAACUGUGAGCUUUGGUGUCACUCAAGCAUCCAACAACAGGAUCAUAUACUUCAAGCUAUCCCCUUACAUUGGCAUACGAACUACUCUCAUUGCUCCUUCAACAUCCAGCAAGCGGAAGAAAUUUUAUGAGACUCAGCAUUUCUAUAUGCUCUAGGAUCCCUACUAUCUUGCUUUAGAACUAUCUUGCUUUUAUUUAUUUCUGAACCUAUGUUGUAAUAUCUCUGCCAAACUUGAUUUUCAUGCUUUUAGGCUUGGCCAUUUUGAGCUUGUGCUGUGCUUGCUCUAUUUUGCUUUAGAACUAUGUUGAUUUUCAUGCUUAAGAGCUUGGCCAUUUCGAACUUGUGUUGUAAUAUUUCUACAAGACUUUAUUUCCCUGCUUUUCAUAGUGCUUGCCCCAAUGCUUGCUCUUUUAUGAUUGA